AUUGAACGCUGGCGGCAGGCCUAACACAUGCAAGUCGAACGAGUGGCGGACGGGUGAGUAAUGUCUGGGAAACUGCCCGAUGGAGGGGGCUAACUACUGGAAACGGUAGCUAAUACCGCAUACCAUCGGAUGUGCCCAGAUGGGAUUAGCUAUUAGUGGGGGUAACGGCUACCCUAGACGACGCUCCCUACCUGGUCUGAGAGGAUGACCACCCACACGGGAACUGAGACACGGUCCAGAAGCCUACGGGAGGCAGCAGUGGGGAAUAUUGCACAAUGGGCGCAAGCCUGAUGCAGCGAUGCCGCGUGUAUGAAGAAGGCCUUCGGGUUGUAAAGUACUUUCAGCGAGGAGGCGUUACUCGCAGAAGAAGCACCGGCUAACUCCGUGCCAGCAGCCGCGGUAAUUC
rnacentral:rRNA from 1 species